rnacentral:rRNA from 1 species
UACGGAGGGUGCAAGCGUUAUCCGGAUUUACUGGGUUUAAAGGAUGCGUAGGUGGGUAAGUAAGUCAGUGGUGAAAUCUCCGAGCUUAACUCGGAAACUGCCAUUGAUACUAUUUAUCUUGAAUAUCCUGGAGGUGAGCGGAAUAUGUCAUGUAGCGGUGAAAUGCUUAGAUAUGACAUAGAAUACCAAUUGCGAAGGCAGCUCACUACGGGAUUAUUGACACUGAGGCACGAAAGCGUGGGGAUCAAACAGG